UACGUAGGGAGCAAGCGUUGUCCGGAAUCAUUGGCGUAAAGCGCGCGUAGGUGGCCUCAUAAGUCCGCUGUGAAAGUCAAAGGCUCAACCUUUGAAAGCCGGUGGAUACUGUGAGGCUAGAGUACGGAAGAGGCGAGUGGAAUUCCUGGUGUAGCGGUGGAAUGCGCAGAUAGUCAGGAGGAACACCAAUAGCGAAGGCAGCUCGCUGGGACGUUACUGACACUGAGGCGCGAAAGCGUGGGGAGCGAACAGG
rnacentral:rRNA from 1 species